rnacentral:rRNA from 1 species
UACGGAGGGUGCGAGCGUUAUCCGGAAUCACUGGGUUUAAAGGGUGCGUAGGCUGUUAGAUAAGUCAGUGGUGAAAGAUUUCCGCUUAACGGAAAAAUUGCCAUUGAUACUGUUUAACUUGAAUUGGGAUGAGGUUACUGGAAUGUGACAUGUAGCGGUGAAAUGCAUAGAUAUGUCAUAGAAUACCGAUUGCGAAGGCAGGUAACUGGCCCUUGAUUGACGCUGAGGCACGAAAGCGUGGGUAGCGAACAGG